rnacentral:rRNA from 1 species
AACGAACGCUGGCGGCAGGCUUAACACAUGCAAGUCGAACGCUCGUAGCAAUACGGGAGUGGCAGACGGGUGAGUAACGCGUGGGAACGUGCCCAAAGGUACGGAACAACUCCGGGAAACUGGAGCUAAUGCCGUAUGUGCCCGAAAGGGGAAAGAUUUAUCGCCUUUGGCUCGGCCCGGAUCGGAUUAGCUUGUUGGUGGGGUAAUGGCCUAGCAAGGCGACGAACCGGAGCUGGUUUGUGAGGAUGAUGAGCCACACUGGGACUGAGACACGGCCCAGACUCCUACGGGAGGCAGCAGUGGGGAAUAUUGGACAAUGGGCGCAAGCCUGAUCCAGCCAUGCCGCGUGAGUGAUGAAGGCCUUAGGGUUGUAAAGCUCUUUCGCCAGGGACGAUAAUGACGGUACCUGGAUAAGAAGCCCCGGCUAACUUCGUGCCAGCCGCCGCAGUAA